GCCACUCCCCUCUCCUCUGAGGCUGCGCGUGGGGAGAACGCGACGAGCCCGGAGCGGCGGGAGGGGGCGGGAGGGAGCCCGGCCCCUUCAGGGGACGCCGCCGCUCAGAAAUGAGCCCAGAGUGUGCCACUGCUGUAUGCGGAAAGCUGGGUGACGAAUCUCGAAAGCUUCUGCUGCAUGAUUCCACACAAGGCCUGGUAUUCUCCGAACAGUCGUUUUGUUUUUAAAGUUUCUUUCAAAGCGUUCUGCUGUGUGAGAACCUACCCUCGAGCAUUCUGUUCACGCAGCUUUGGACUCUGAGCCGCUGGGAUUAACGUGAUAGAUUUUCUUCAGUGUCGAGAACAGACUUUGCCCUGGACCAGACCUCAGCUGGAGUUCUCUUAUUUCAGAGAAUUAAAGACACAAAUCCUGUAAACAAAAUGACAAGCAAAAGGAGCCUUUCUUCCCUUCUUGGAAUCAUUCAACAUUUGUGAAGGUGUGUGUUGCUGAAAGUAAACUGUUCAAAAUUUGGAUAAAGUCAUUUUGGAUUUUCUGAGAGAAGAUUUCAUAAUGUGAGGUUAACAAAAACCCAAACAAAUGUCAAUAUAUCAGCCCGUUGUGCUAGGUGGCUUCAUUGUUUUUUCCUUAUGUCAUCUACGACAAGAAUUACAAUAUGUAAACCUUCAACAGAUAAAUUCAAACAAAGGCUGUAAUGGAUCUCUGAUAGGAAACCGUUUGUGGAUAUGUGCUUUGAGACUUAUUAGCAGGAGCUUUUGUAAAUAAAUAUUUUGCAUUAGUUUUCUUUCUAAGAUAAGCAAUAUAUUUACACCUAAUGCAUUUUGGAAGAAAAAAAAAUAAAGGAUGUCUUUGUCCAAUUUCUCCUACUUCUUUUCAGUCUUAAAAUAGCAGGGACUGUUGAAAAAAAAGCUUCUCUAAAGAUAACCCAUGUUUUCCUUUUCAAGGCAGAAAAAAAGUUAAUAAAUUAAAGCAGUGAUAAUCUGUUAAUCAUUAACUACAGUUUCAACAAAAGAACUGAUGGGUGUCCUCUCUUUUAUGCACCUCAUUACCUCUACUUCCCCUCGCCUUGGUUUCCCACCUCCUGGGGGCACAGAAGCAGCUCCAAACGGUGUGUAGUGGGGGUGGGGGGAGGUGUCUCUGUCCAGGGCCAGGCAGGUUGCACCUUGCAAACCCCAGUCUAUGAGAACAGCACCCCCAGGGCUGUCUGGAAUACCACCUACACAACCCCACAGGUGGCCCUGUGGGGGGCUGCAGUGGGCUCUUGCCUCGGGUGAAGUCAAGAAGGCUCAAGAAACCUGCAAGAAAGUAUCUCUUUCCCUCGAAAAUAAAGUUCCGCCCCCUCAUAUUUUUUCAAAGAUAUCAUGACAGGCAGUAACUCAGGAUCAAAGUUGUCUCCUAAGCAGUAUGGAUUUGUAGAAAAAAGAAGACGGCAUCCAGAGGCCUGUAUUACAAUGAACUUGGCCUUACUGUGUAACCAGCUGAUUUGCUCUUCUUGAAAUUCUCCUGUUUGGGAGCAGGAUUCAGAUGCCAAUGCCAUUUCCUCUCCUUUGCAUUUUAUCAGAGGAAACGUAGCCAACUGCAGGUAGGAUAAUCUGUGUCACUGGUAUCAUGGGCUUUGGAGGCCACAAUAACUCAGUGAACUUGUUCAAUGUUUAGCUGAACCAAAAAAUAAAGGAAUUAUCAUCACUCUAGUGUUUAUUUCUGACUGAAUUACUUUAACAGUUUAGGAUUCUUUGAGGCCAAUAGACAAAGGCCAUACAUGAUAUGUAUGUAUUUAAUGCAUGGGACUUGAAACAUCUUUUCCACUGUUUUCCAAGCAGCGUUUGCAGAUUUUGUAUCUCCCAGGGUAAAGCCCUUGCUGAGAGCCUGACUCGGUGCCGUCAGCGAGGCCCAGGUCCUGGAACCACCAUGGGACUUGCGUCAUUUACCUUUCUGUAAUCCUAGUGAGGACCAGCGAGCCUGAGGCCAAGCCAUUUUCUGUGGCGAGUAAACAUGCCAGUGUUAUAAGUAAUAAUUUGUCACCGACAUUUCCAUCCUGUUUCUCUAGAUUCUGUUGAGAUUGAACUGAGUGGUCAUGAGCUCUGUGUCACGACGGGGGAUUGUACUCCCUCUCUCGGCUUCAACCACUCUCCUGACUCCCGUGUCACCUGUGUUUGGAUCACCCGAUGGGCUCUCCCUCCUGAAUUCCUGAUCUGUACAAUGGAUUCUCUCCUCAGCGUCUCCGCUGGAAGGCAUCAAAGGGCCUCUCAAACACAACAUCCAAAAUUGACCUUCCCCAGAAUUCUGCUUCUUUUUCACCGUUUGUUGCCUUGUAAACUGCCCAGGUGAUGAGACCAGAAUGACGAGAAUCCUCCUUAUCUGGAUGCUGCGUCUAACUGCCCAUCGCCGCGCCCUCACAAGGCAGCACAGGGCCUGCCCAGGGAAGGAGCUCAGUCCAUCUUCCCUGUGUCUUCUUCGGCCCCUGCUGCUUUAUCACUCCCCAGGCUGAGUCCACUUCACUCCUGUGAAUGUGUCUGGGCAUCUUCACUACCCUCACUCCAGUCCUUACUCACUCCCUGUCCCCUGCCUGCACUCCUGCAAGGGCCUUCCAGCUGGGCCCAUAUGCACAGUCUGGUCCCUCCAACCUACUGCUCCAGCCGCUUCCUGUUAUCCUGGGCACCUCUCCAUUGCCCUUCUCCGAUGGUUCCCACCUGCUGGAGGGCCACGGGGCAGGCUGUUCCCUUUGCUGAAGUCCCGACCCCACGGCUAACUCCUGCUCCUUUGUUCUUAGCCUAAAUGUUAUUUGCACAGGGAACCUUUGCUGGGACACAGGACUGGGGUCGGUUCCUAGCACUGUGCUGUCAGAGCCUCUCGUUCUUUGUGGCUACUACUAUUCCAGGGCAGAUGAAUACAUUAGUUGUUUGAAGCACGCCUCUCUCAAGAGAUAGAGACUGUCCCUUGAGGGCAGGGAGGGCAGAGGGAAAACAGUGGAAAAGAUGUUUCAAGUCCCAUGUCUUUCUGGAUGGCUACCUUAUCUCCGGUAAGGAGAUCAGUGCCUGGUGCACAGAAGAAACUAGAUAAAGACGUGUUGAAUGAUGGAGGAAUGGCACAGCUGAUUCGCCCUUCCAGAUUUCCUUUCCAGGCUGAACCACCACAGCUCCUCAGGAGGCUUGUUAUUAUUAGUUCCCUGCUCUCUGGCGGGUCCUCUCCUCGUCCUCAGUGACCAGUGUCACUGUCUGCCAUCAUCUGGAUACCCUUGUUAAGGGCCUCUCAACUGCUGAGACUGCAGUAGAAGACCAUCACCCCCAUGACACUUAGAAACACCUGGAAAACCCUGUGUUCUUACUGCCAAAUGAAGUGUCGGGUGAAUCUGAGGCAGAAGGAGCCCCAGACUUUGCUCUGUGAGGAGUGGGGGGCCUAGAUCACUGGAUUUGCGGCUCGGGGGGUUCUAUCAGCAGAAAGUCUAGGUGACCAGAGGCCUUGGGAAUGUUCACAGCAAAACAAAGUGGAAAAUCCUUUUUGGAAUAGAAUGAGAUGAAGCAGAUAACUGGUUGCCAAUCACUCAUACCCCCGGCCCUGGUCUUUCUCAGGUAAAAUAAGGUUAACAGUCAUCCAGGCUAUAGGUAGGAGAAAAGAGAGGGUUGUGGAUACAUUCAGUUAUCAACGUUUGACCACAAAACAGCAUCAAGCCCCCACUACCGCUGACUGGUUUUGUUCUCUCAUUUCCUACUGUAAGUAUUUCUGAGUUUUCCCCACCUGCCUGGCACCGUACCUAGUGCUGGGGAUGCAACAGUGAGCUCAACCUCUGGCUCUCAUGAAGCUUGCAGCUCAGUCUGGGAAGGAGA